rnacentral:rRNA from 1 species
UCUGGUGCCAGCAGCCGCGGUAAUUCCAGCUCCAGGAGCGUCUGUGUGUGUUGCUGCGGUUAAAGAGUGCGUAGUCGGGUUUUUUGCCAGCAAUAAAGGUGCGGUCUUCAACUGUGCAUUGUGCUGGUACUUAAAUCUAGGGACCGGAGAAGGGCAAUGGUAUUCGACAGCGAGGGGUGAAAACUGAUGACCUGUUGAGGAGCGACUGAGGCGAAAGCGGUUGUCCGGGACGGGUUCGACGAUCAAGCGCGUGAGCAGGAGGAUCGAAGGCGAUUAGAGACCGUCGUAGUUCCUGCAGUAAACGAUGCCAACGGGAUUGCAAGCUAUGUGAUUCAAGGGAAACCGAGUGUAUGGGCUCCGGGGAUAGUACGGGCGCAAGCCAGAAACUUGAAGAAAU